CUCCCUGUCUUUGUUCUCUCCGUCUCUUAGAAACUUUUGCUCUGCAACUUCAUCUCAAACUCAGAAAAUAAACCUCAAACUCAGAAAAUAAACCCCAACUUCAUAGAAGAAGAGUUCGUAUCAAACACUCAUAUUUCUCAGCUUCACCCUCAGUAGUUGCGUACGUGUCGAAGGAGGUGAAGACCAAUUUGUCUGCAAUGGUAAACAAAAAGGUUAUCAACGAAGCACAGAGCAACAAGUCGGUCCCAACUCCCAAAAAGGUAGUAAACAAGAAGCCAAAAGCGUCUGUUUGUCUCCUUUCAAGAUCAUCUUAAAAGACAAGAGUAAAAAGUCUCAUGCCAAACAAACUCCUAAGAAGAAGAAGAAGAGUUCAGAGCGUCCUGAUAGCGGAAAGAGUCCAAGACGAUCAUCCCCUAGGUUUAAGAACACUCCAGAGGAACCUCAUAAUGCUGAAAAGACUACUCAGAACAGUUUAGAGGAACCACAUGUUGCUGAAAAGACUACUCUAACACGAUCGUCGCCUCGGAAAACUAAAAAUGCAGUUGAACCAGCCGCUGAAAAGACAACUCCAACACGAUCAUCACCUAGGAAAAGGAAAAGUUCAUCUGAACCAGAACAAUCUCAACCAUUACAGUCCACAUCAUGAGCAUCUCAAGCUGCACCUUGUAGUGAAGUUGUUCACAAUCAGAAAAGUGCAAAGCGGAAAUUGUACUCAGGGCCAUGUCCGAAUGUGCAACUCAGGAAUGUGAAUGAUACUUUCUCAGAUCUUCAAGACGAGAAAGAAGAUGAAGAUGAUGAACAAGAAGAGAAGGAAAAUUAAGAGGUGGAGAAUGAUGACAAGGAAAAUGAGAACGAUGGCGAGCACCAUGACGUGGGAAAUGAAAAUGAAACAAAAGUUGAGGCAAAACCCAAAAGAAAGUACGUUCCACGUGACCCAACAAGGAUGAGUGCACUAGGGCUAACAUCUGAUAAGAAUGGCAAGGAACCUGUUAGCUUUAACAGUAAGGAUCAGCCCAUUGGUGAUCCUUCGGUGCAGCUUGAAAGUGUGUUGGGAGUUUUAGUUAGGCGAAACAUCCCAUUAAAACACAAGGAUUGGAGACUUGUCCAUAAAGAAGCCAAAGAUAACAUACGGUCGAUUGUCAUGCAAAGGUUUGUUAUCGAUGAGUUUUACAAAGACUACUAUCUUGGGAAGAUGGGAUGUUAUCUUAAAGAGGCUAGGUCAAGGGAAGCCGGUAAGAUACUCGCCUUAGAUGAGCUAGAGGAAGAAGUUAGAGAGAAGAGGCUGGCAGCACUGAAACCAGAGAAUGACACUGUUAAUGAGUGGGAAGAAUUCGUAAAACAUGUUUGCUCGGAGGAAUUCAGAACAAAAAGAUUGCGGAUGUAACAAAUUAGACAGAAACACACCACUCCACACACUAUCAGCAGACUAGGUUAUGCGAGACUCGAGGAUAAAAUGGAACGGAAAACACAAGAAGAGAUUGAUAGAGUCUAAAUUUGGACAACGGGUCACAAACAGAAGGAAGGAAAGGAACCUAAUCCUGGUGUUGUGGCGGCUUUGGAAAAUAUUCAAAGAGCAGCAGAAGAGCAUGGUGCUGAUGUUGGAUCAUCUGUGACAGAUGAUCUUCUUUCCAAAGCUCUUGGUGACGACAAACCAGGAAAACUGAGAGGAAUUGGGUAUGGAGCGACAAAGACAAAGAUGGCUGUCAAGACCCAUUAUAAGAAGAUUAUCAAAGAGUGUCGGGACAGUAUGAAGGAAGUGAACGAGAGACUUGCACAGUUAGAGGAAAAGACGUCGAGCUGUGUCUGCCAUGGUGGCUCACACUUGCACAACGUCAGUUCAAAGGUCAGUGUGUUUAUAUUUUUGUACACUUGCACAUUGCGAGUUCAAAUUUAUUUCUUUGCAUUAUUCCAAUUUAUUAUGUUGGUUUUGUUGUAUUUAUCAUAUAGUCUGGAAAUGCUAGCAAUGUUAUUGCUAGCACUAGCAUUACUAUUCCCUACCAUGAAAAUGACAGUCCAAUCAGCAGACCAAGGGUGGAGGAAGUGCUAGGGAAGGGUAAAGCUUGCAGGUUACUCAGUUGGUAUAAUGAGAACGAGGUUGUUGCUGACGCGGUUAUUGCUGAAACAGAUCCAAAGAUGGAGUGUCAUGUAUUUCCAAUAGGUUUUGCAUCAUACAAAGUAACUGUGAUUACGUCUCAUGUGGAUGAUGCCAUUCUCUACAAGCAAUCCGGUGAGUUGAAGCGUGUAAUAGACGUUGUAGGAACUUAUACCACAUGGGCCAAGGAUCUGAUAUUGCCUGCCAUCUGACUUGUUAUUCUGUUUGGGGCUUGUUGAAAAAACAAUUUGGUUCUUUUUUUGGUUCUCUUAUCAGUCAAACUGUUGCUCUUAUCAGUGAAACAAUGUGUGUGUGUGUUUUUUUUUAUGUGGAAACAAUGUUUCAGGAAUCAUUCAAGGGUGUGAAUGAUCUUGCAGGUUUUAGUGCUUCAUAUUUGAAUGAA